rnacentral:rRNA from 1 species
AAGAUUAAGCCAUGCAUGUCUAAGUAUAAGCAAUUAUACCGUGAAACUGCGAAUGGCUCAUUAAAUCAGUUAUCGUUUAUUUGAUAGUACCUUACUACUUGGAUAACCGUGGUAAUUCUAGAGCUAAUACAUGCUAAAACCCCAACUUCGGGAGGGGUGUAUUUAUUAGAUAAAACCAAUGCCCUUCGGGGCUCCUUGGUGAUUCAUGAUAACUUCUCAGAUCGCAU